AAGCGUUUGUAGUAUUAAAAUGCAUAUACUGUACACAAAUGCCAUUAUUCAGUGGCAUAACAAUAAACUAUAGUUUGGAUAUAAUUACGUUCAUUUUAAUUAAUAGCAUUGUUUCCCAUUUCUAUUAACGAACCAUGUAAAAUAUGUGUAUCCUACACCUAUCAGUGACAACAGAUAAAUAUUAUAAAUUUAUUACAUUCUAGGUUUCGUUUUAUAUACAACAUGUGAUACAACGAAAUAUUAUUAUUUCGAAAAUACUUUCUCGCCCGUUUAUGCAUAAUCCAAAAAUAAAGCGAUGGACAUAAAGUCCGUAAAUAUAUUGCAAUCUUUGGAGUAAAUGUAGCUAUAAUUACAUCCUUCUCAUCCUUCAAUAUUGCUUUUAAAAUGCGUUCUGCGACAUACUCGGUAGAGUAUCCUUCUUCCGUGGACUUAUCCAUUACUACAACAAAAAAUUUGUUUAAAUAAACAAUCACGUCUACCGUGAA